GGUGGUGACUGUCACUAGUCACUAGUCACCACCUCCCUCACUCUGUCCCUAGUCACCCCUCUCUCUGUUACUAGUCACACCCUCCCUCACUCUGUCACUAGAGUGAGGGGGUGACAGAGUGAGGGAAGGGGUGACUAGUGGCAGAGUGAGGGAAGGAAGGGGUGACUAAUGACUGAGUGAGGAAGGAGGUGACACAGUGACAGAGUGAGGGAGGGGGUGACUAGUGACAGAGUGAAGGAGGUGGUGACUGUCACUAGUCACCCCAUCCCUCCCUCUGUCACUAAUCACCACCUCCCUCACUCUGUCACCCCUUCCCUCCCUCACUCUGUCACUAGUCACCCCCUCCCUCUCUCUGUCACUAGUCACCUCCUCCCUCACUCUGUCACUAGUCACACCCUUCCUCACUGUCACUAGUCACCCUCUCCCUCUCUCUGUCACUAGUCACACCCUCCCUCACUCUG